CCUACGGGUGGCAGCAGUGAGGAAUAUUGGUCAAUGGACGGAAGUCUGAACCAGCCAUGCCGCGUGCAGGAAGACGGCUCUAUGAGUUGUAAACUGCUUUUGUACAAGGGUAAACCUGAAUACGUAUAUUCCUCUGAAAGUACUUUACGAAUAAGGAUCGGCUAACUCCGUUCCAGCAGCCGCGGUAAUACGGAGGAUCCAAGCGUUAGCCGGAUUUAUUGGGUUUAAAGGGUGCGUAGGCGGAUUGAUAAGUUAGAGGUGAAAUGUCCGAGCUUAACUCGGGAACUGCCUCUAAUACUGGUGAGCUAGAGAGUAGAUGCGGUAGGCGGAAUGUAUGGUGUAGCGGUGAAAGGCUUAGAGAUCAGACAGAACACCGAUUGCGAAGGCAGCUUACCAAGCAAUAUCUGACGUUGAGGCACGAAAGCGUGGGGAGCAAACAGGAUUAGAUACCCUUGUAGUC
rnacentral:rRNA from 1 species